GGGGACUCAGGCUGGUCAGGGCAGGUUCGGAGGCGGGCCUGGUUUGGAGAAACAACCACCCAUCAGCCAGGCUUGGGGAGGGGAAGGCCAGAGGAGAGGAAGGAGGAGUCUGGAGAGGGGAGAGAAAGACGUAGAAAAACAGACAAGGAGAGAGGGCAGGAGUGGGGGACACAGGUACUGGGAGAGAGUAGAGACACAGAGACAAGAGAGAAAAGGCAACAAAGACAAAGCCAGAGACGCCCAGCCCGAGAGACAGAGCCACACGGAGAGAAUGGAGAGGGGAGCAGGGUCAGAGGGCCCGGACGACGCAGAGAAGGACGCGAAAGGACGUGAGAGGGACUUCCCCCAGGGGCAGGGAGAGGCCUUGGGCAGCUCCUCCGCUGGGCCGGGCUGCCUGCCUGCUGGACUCCGGGAAGGAGGCAGUGACCGCACCCAUCUGGAAGCUGUCAGGUCCCUCAAGGAUGAGGGCGUUGGGAGGAAGCCAGACAUGAGCCACGUCUAGAGAGAGGAAGCGGCGGGAUUUGAAAAAGAGGGCCCUCCUUCUGGGAGAGCACCCACUGCUCAUCUGAAUUCUAGAGAACCACUCAAGUGCAUAUAGACGGCAUCCAUCCUAAGAAGGAAAGUGCUCUCUAAGAAGCCACUAUGCCUGAAAUGCCACCAUAUGUAUACACCAUUCCACUAUGGAAAACAUUGCCUUUUCGGGGCUCUUCCUGUGAAAUGCAGGCCAUGAGCUCUUGCUGGACAUACCAGAACAAAGACAUAGUCUCUUCAAGAUGGCAUUCACAGCCAUAGGGCAGGACGACAGGUGGGCGACAACCAUAGCCAGCAGAAGAGCAGACACUGGAACAGAGGUUCAAACCAACAACUAUGGAGCGAGCUGAGCCUUUUAUUGAAGCGUAAUACAUAUACAGAAAAAUUCACCUAUCAUAAGUAUGCAUCUUGGUAAAUUUUCACAAGGAAUAUACCCAUGGAACCAACAUCCAGAUCAAAAUCUGUCAGGCGUCUAGCACCCAGAAGCCCCUGCGGGUCCCUGCCAGUUACUAUGUGCCCCCAAGGCUGACCACUGUCCUGUCUUCUGGUACCACAGGUUUGUUUUGCCUGUUUUUUGAACUUUAUAAAUGCAAGUGUACAGUAUGAACUGUGUCGUGUUCUGUUGUUCAACAGGACGUCUGUGAGAUUUCUCAAUAUUGCAGCUAUCUCCGUAGCUUGUAGCACUCCAUUGUGUGAAUCCGCCACUGUCUGUUGAUGGGCACUGGGUGGUCUCCAGUUCUUGGCUAUUAUGCAUAGUGCUCUGAAUAUCCUUGCAUGCGUCUUUGGUACACAUGCCUGUUGGGUAUAUUCCCAGGAGUAGACUUGGUGGGUUGGAGAGCAUGCGCAUGUUCAACUUGAAUAUGUGACGCCAAAUCAUUUUCUCAAGUGUUUGUAGAUGGAGGGUUUUGAGCAAGGAGGUGGCAGGAGCAGGCCUGGGUCUCGGCCGUCCCUCUCUGCACAGGCUGAGUGUGAAGGGCAUAGGGACAUCCCAGUGGAGCUGUCCUAAGGCUAGAGAGCAGUGGGUCUGGAGCUGGGGAGCUGGGGAGCUAGGCAGCAAGGCUCUGGGCUGAAGAAGGUGGAGAGGGUGUGGAGUGAGGAAGGUAGGGACCAGGGCCAGGCCAUGGAUACAGCCAUAAUGAGGAUGCCACGGAGACAGAGGAGCCCUCAGAGGCAACUGAGGAGGUGCAGCCUAGAGAAGAGGGAAGACCCGGCAAGAGGAAAGGAAGCAAAUCACAUGGGUGCCAAGGGGAGCAUCUGAGGCAGAGGCAGGCAUAGAGCACCAGAGGCACUAAGAGGGCCAGUUAGUCAAGACUGAGCAGGAUGUGUCCACCAGACUUGAUAAGGGAGCUGUGGGGACCUUAAGGAAGUCAUGGUCAAUGGGGUUGGUGUGUGUGCCAG
rnacentral:lncRNA from 1 species